rnacentral:lncRNA from 1 species
CUGGCACGUCCGCGGGCGACCAGGCGAAGACGUCAGCGUUGUCCCGCAGGAAGCUGACGAGGCAAUCCCUCUCGCGGGCGCCGAGGCCGGAGCCGACCUGCACAGUUAGCUCGGGAAAAUUUUCUUGUAGUGGGAUUUGAAUAAGGAGCUCACCGGGCUCUACUUGCUUCUUCCAGAGGGUGUCCCUCGCAUCGAGGGUUUCUAUGGGCAGC